CUGUGGCGGGUGCUGAAAAAGCAGCCAUGGCAUCACGUGACAUUGUGGGUUAUUCAGACUUGACAUUGUUGGUUCCACAUGCUGUCGAUGAUUUUGCUUGAACAAAAAACAUCUCAUCUCUCCACUUCCAGGUGGCUGAGAUACAAGACCGUGUUGCUUGAUAUAUCUAACAUUACUGCACUGUACUGAAUCCUGCUACUCUCCUCCCAACUCCAGGUGAAGGACAGCCGCAUGAUUGUGUUGCAGUCAUAGCAGAAACCUGCUCUCUAAGGGCAAACUUGCAGGAGACUCCUCUAACAAACCCAGACAUGGAGUUGUUUGUGGACGGCUCAGCAUCACGUGAUCCAGCUCCUGGUCAAAAACGCCAUCCCGAAGGCCGCAGAGAAGAAACUGCACGAUCUGGAGCCAGGGGACUGGAUUGUGGGAAAGGACUUCAGGAGAAAGGGCUCGCAGGUGGACCGGGCCAUUUCAGAUACUGCUAACAACAGAAACAGCAGUAAAAGUGGCUGAAAGAGCAACUUGGAUUCACGCCACCCACUGCAAACGAGUGCCAAAGCAACCAAAAGGCCUCAAACCAGGCGAAGAUUGAGAUCAGUGAUUGAGCUGAGCUUUCCCCUGCCUUGUGUUCCUAGGGAGGGAGGGGAGUGGAGGUCUCUGAGACCACCUAGAACCACUAAUCUCCCAAACACUCACCGCAGGCACACUGAAACCAACAGAUGGCUCUGGAGAGGUGACGGACCGAGACAAAACGGAGGCGUUGUUCUGCUCACUGUCAUCAUUUCCAAACAUGAAAACAACAAACUUGGCCUGACUGAGGGGAAAGUUCCAGGCCGAAGAGGAGGAGAUGCACAUCCUCCCUGACAGCCCGGCUGGGCUGAAAGACAAUGCACUUCAAGAGAGAUUAGUCGUUCUUAUGAAACUGAGAUUGGGGCUCAGUAACAGAGAUAUUGCAUAUAGGUUCAAAGUUUCUGAAAGCAC